CCUACGGGAGGCAGCAGUGGGGAAUAUUGCACAAUGGGCGCAAGCCUGAUGCAGCCAUGCCGCGUGUAUGAAGAAGGCCUUCGGGUUGUAAAGUACUUUCAGCGAGGAGGAAGGCAUAAAGGUUAAUAACCUUUGUGAUUGACGUUACUCGCAGAAGAAGCACCGGCUAACUCCGUGCCAGCAGCCGCGGUAAU
rnacentral:rRNA from 1 species